GUCGACGGACGGCGCGGGGCUCGCCUUCGGCGAGGCUCCGGCGCAAGUCGAGUACCACAUCGGGCUUUACGACACCUUUUUGCCGGGUUUCGACAGGAUCAUGGCGGAUGCGGUCGCCGUGUCGUUUGGGCGUGAUCGAUACCCCGCGCCGCCGGUGCACGAUGUUUUGAUAGAAAUGGAAACGUAACCGGCGGUUUUCCUUGGCAAGGUCACCCCGGACACCUAUGUUAGGGAC
rnacentral:sRNA from 1 species